AUAUAUAUAUAUAUAUAUAUAUAUUAGAAUGUAGUCCAAUAUUUUAACUAAACUUUUGAAAAGAAUACAAAAUGUUUUAAAAUAGUUUUAUCAGUAAUCUAAAUGUUGUGAAAAGUGAAAAUAUAAAAAGAAAAUUAGUUCUUUCAUCAUUUAUGUAGAGUUGACUUCAGUUUUCUGAUUUGUUACAACCUGUCAUUUAACUAGAGUUGACUUUAAUGUUCAGAUUUAUCAUAAUUUGUCAUAUAGCGAAAAAUAAAUAUUUGUGAUAAUUUAAUAUAAUUGUUUGGGGAUGUAAAGUCUGAGUGGUAAAGUGCUUGGCUCCUAAAUUGUGGGAUUUUAUGUACGAGUCUCAUGGAAUACUGGUAUUGAACGUUUUGGAUUUUUAGGAUGCCUUGGGUCCACCCAAAUCUUAUGAGUACCUGACAUUAGUUGGGGUGAAACAAAGGAGGUUGUCAUUGUGCUGGCCACAUUACACCCUUGUUAACCAUUGGUUUUAGAAUCAAUAAACCUUUUCAUCUGCCCUUUAGAUGGCAAGGUGGUAACAUUACAUUUUACGAAAUAAUAGAAUUGUUUAAAAAAAAACUAAAGUUAAAUAUUAUAUAGUUCAUAAUAAUCAUGUAAUGGCCAAAUAAAAAAUAUAAUGAUAAAAGUAUUUGCUUUGUUAUACAUUUCAUUCCUUCUGAUACUAAGAGUCUAAGUCUUAGUUUUGCAUGUUUUGUGGCACUUUAAUCUUAAGUAUAUAACAAGCUGAAGUAUUUUAUCACAAUAAUGAUUUUCAAAUGGCAGACAUCUUCAAACGUUAUCAAAGGAGGCU